GAUGAAGAACGUAGCGAAAUGCGAUAAGUAGUGUGAAUUGCAGAAUUCAGUGAAUCAUCGAAUCUUUGAACGCACAUUGCGCCCCUUGGUAUCCCGAGGGGCAUGCCUGUUCGAGCGUCAUUUCAACCCUCGAGCCCCCCCGGGGGCCUCGGUGUUGGGGGACGGCACACCAGCCGCCCCCGAAAUGCAGUGGCGACCCCGCCGCAGCCUCCCCUGCGUAGUAGCACACACCUCGCACCGGAGCGCGGAGGCGGUCACGCCGUAAAACGCCCAACUUUCUUAGAGUUGACCUCGGAUCAGGUAGGAAUACCCGCUGAACUUAAGCAUAUCAAUAAGCGGAGGA
rnacentral:misc_RNA from 1 species